rnacentral:rRNA from 1 species
UGGGGAAUUUUGGACAAUGGGCGCAAGCCUGAUCCAGCCAUGCCGCGUGCGGGAAGAAGGCCUUCGGGUUGUAAACCGCUUUGUCAGGGAAGAAAUCUUCUGAGUUAAUACCUCGGGAGGAUGACGGUACCUGAAGAAUAAGCACCGGCUAACUACGUGCCAGCAGCCGCGGUAAUACGUAGGGUGCAAGCGUUAAUCGGAAUUACUGGGCGUAAAGCGUGCGCAGGCGGUUUUGUAAGACAGAGGUGAAAUCCCCGGGCUCAACCUGGGAACUGCCUUUGUGACUGCAAGGCUUGAGUGCGGCAGAGGGGGAUGGAAUUCCGCGUGUAGCAGUGAAAUGCGUAGAUAUGCGGAGGAACACCGAUGGCGAAGGCAAUCCCCUGGGCCUGCACUGACGCUCAUGCACGAAAGCGUGGGGAGCAAACAGGAUUAGAUACCCUGGUAGUCCACGCCCUAAAACGAUGUCAACUGGUUGUUGGGAAGGUUCCUUCUCAGUAACGUAGCUAACGCGUGAAGUUGGCCGCCUGGGGAGUACGGCCGCAA